rnacentral:lncRNA from 10 species
UAUUAAAAAACAGCUUUAAAAAAAAAAAAAAAAAAAAAAACUUGAAAUAGGAACUUCACCGUCUCUUAAGAGCGAUAUAUUUAAUACAUUCACAAGAUUCGAAAUGAAAAACAAACAUUAUUCAUGCUACAGGUUUUUAAUUUUCCUUGGACAACACCAAAAACACAGUACUCAAACGGCAUGUUUUUUUUUUGUUUUUUUGGUUUCUUUUUGAGAUGGAAUUUCACUCUUGUUGCCCAGGCUGGAGUGCAAUGGUGUGAUCUUGGCUCACUGCAACCUCCGCCUCCCGGGUUCAAGAGAUUCGCCUGCCUCACAGGCGCCCACCGCCACACCUGGAUAAUUUUUGUUUUUUGUUUUUUUUUUUGAGACGGUGUCUCACUCUGUCGCCCAGGUUAGAGUGCAGUGGCACCAUCUCAGCUCACUGCAAGCUCCGCCUUCCAGGUUCAUGCCAUUCUCCUGCCUCAGGCUCUCGAGUAGCUGGGACUACAGGCGCUCACCACCACGCCCGCCUAAUUUUUUCUAUUUUUUAAUAGAGACGGGGUUUCACCCGUGUUAGCCAGGAUGGUCUCGAUUUCCUGACCUCGUGAUCCACCCGCCUAGGCCUCCCAAAGUGCUGGGAUUACAGGCAUGAGCCGCCGCGGCCGGCAAUUUUUGUAUUUUAAGUGGAGAUGAGGUUUCACCAUGUUAGCCAGGCUGGUCUUCAGCUCCUGACCUCAGGUGAUCCAUCCGCCUUGGUCUCCCAAAAUGCUGGGAUUACAGGCAUGAGCCACUGUGCUCGGCCUGCAGGUUUUAACAAGAGGAGCAUGAACUAUCAUUUUGACACAAAGACAGCUUAAAAAAAAUAAUAAAGCUGGCUGGACGCGGAAUUAAAGAUGCAUGCCAAGAAAUACCCACAAACAUUAAUU